AACGAACGCUGGCGGCGCGUUUUAAGCAUGCAGGUCGAACGGCAGUAUGGAGCAAUCCAUAUGAGAGUGGCGAACGGGUGAGUAACACGUAGGUGAUCUCCCUCGGUUUUGGGGAUAGUUCGUGGAAACACGGGGUAAUACCGAAUACGCUCUCCGGGCUGUGGCCUGGGGAGGAAAGGCGCGGGUGCGCCGAACCGAGAUGAGCCUGCGUCCCAUUAGCUGGUUGGCGGGGUAAAGGCCCACCAAGGCGACGAUGGGUAGCCGGCCUGAGAGGGUGACCGGCCACACUGGGACUGAGAUACGGCCCAGACUCCUACGGGAGGCAGCAGUGGGGAAUUUUGGACAAUGGGGGCAACCCUGAUCCAGCCAUGCCGCGUGAGUGAAGAAGGCCUUCGGGUUGUAAAGCUCUUUCGUUUGGGAAGAAAUCCCUAAGGAUAAUACCCUUGGGGGAUGACGGUACCAAAAGAAUAAGCACCGGCUAACUACGUG
rnacentral:rRNA from 1 species